UUCAGAGGUAUCGAGCGUUGUUCGGAUUUACUGGGCGUAAAGGGAGCGUAGGCGGCCGGGUGUGUCGAAUGUGAGAGCCCACAACUCAACUGUGGAAUGGCAUUCGAAACUACCUGGCUAGAGUACUGGAGAGGAGAGCAGAAUUCUUGGUGUAGCGGUGAAAUGCGUAGAUAUCAAGAGGAACACCGGUGGCGAAGGCGGCUCUCUGGACAGAUACUGACGCUGAGGCUCUAAAGUUAGGGGAGCAAACAGGAUUA
rnacentral:rRNA from 1 species